rnacentral:tmRNA from 1 species
GGGGGCGCAAUGGUUUCGACAGGGAUUGCGAGUCUUCGUAAGCGGGUAGUGAUCUCAGGCUCACUUCAAAACUGAAAACCUUAAAAUUAACUGACAACAAUACAGUUGCUCUCGCUGCGUAAUUAACGCGGCGCGUCCUAUUGCAGAGUACCGCGGCUGCAUGUGGGCGUCGAUCAGCGGUGAACGUGCAUGAAUGAGCAGCCUCGUAGUUCAUCACGCAUCAGAGGAUACUUUGGGAUUCAGCCUGUUUGUCGGCUCCGUCCCGGGGGAAUGCCAUAGACAAACUACACCCGUAGAAAGCGAAGGUAAGUGGUUUUUGGACAGGAGUUCGAUUCUCCUCGCCUCCACCA